AUCAAAGUAGAGAUAGUGAAAUAGCCUAAAUGCAGCAGUCGAAUAAACGAGUUGAUAAAUUUUUAUCAAUGAUUACAUCUUUUUUUCUUUUCUUCCUCUAUGCAUAUAGCUUUGGAGUUUAACCCUUCUGCCAAUCCAGAGGCAAGCACAAUAUUCCAGAGGAACUCUCAAACAGAUGUUGUAGAAAUAAGAAGAAGCAACUGUACAAACCAUGUAAGUAAACACUCAAAUAGUUAAGAAAUUGAUAGUUUGACAUAAAAGGAUGUCUCUCUUGAUUUCUUUAAAUUACAAUGUGGACCUGGUGGUGGUAGCAUGGACCUCUUUUUGUGGAUUUUCUAAA
rnacentral:lncRNA from 1 species